rnacentral:rRNA from 1 species
AUGCAGUCGAGCGGUAACAGGAAGAAAGCUUGCUUUCUUUGCUGACGAGCGGCGGACGGGUGAGUAAUGCCUAGGAAAUUGCCCUGAUGUGGGGGAUAACCAUUGGAAACGAUGGCUAAUACCGCAUAAUCUCUUCGGAGCAAAGAGGGGGACCUUCGGGCCUCUCGCGUCAGGAUAUGCCUAGGUGGGAUUAGCUAGUUGGUGAGGUAAUGGCUCACCAAGGCGACGAUCCCUAGCUGGUCUGAGAGGAUGAUCAGCCACACUGGAACUGAGACACGGUCCAGACUCCUACGGGAGGCAGCAGUGGGGAAUAUUGCACAAUGGGCGCAAGCCUGAUGCAGCCAUGCCGCGUGUAUGAAGAAGGCCUUCGGGUUGUAAAGUACUUUCAGUCGUGAGGAAGGCAUCAACGUUAAUAGCGUUGGUGUUUGACGUUAGCGACAGAAGAAGCACCGGCUAACUCCGUGCCAGCAGCCGCGGUAAUACGGAGGGUGCGAGCGUUAAUCGGAAUUACUGGGCGUAAAGCGCAUGCAGGUGGUUCGUUAAGUCAGAUGUGAAAGCCCGGGGCUCAACCUCGGAAUUGCAUUUGAAACUGGCGGACUAGAGUACUGUAGAGGGGGGUAGAAUUUCAGGUG